GACCAAACGGGGUCGAACUGAAAACUUAAAAUAUAUUCUUACUCAGUACGUAAAACCGAACAUGACUGUCAAGUUUGAGCUCAAACGGAUGUUUAGGGAGUUCCGGCGAAAGAUAUCAGAUUUCGAACUGCCCGGGAGUGAAUAGUGUUGUGGUGUUGACUAAAGAGGAGUGUUGACUCCUCUUCUUCUCCUUCAGCCGCACACACUCCACACACACACACGCGCGCGCAUGGAGGGGGAGGGAAACCGUCCCUUCUCUCUCUAGAGAUCUCUCUCAUCUCUCUAAAUCUCUCUCUAAAAAUUGGAGGGUUGGUGGAGAAGAUGCUUGCGAACGCGUUGGAGGCGACGGUUCGAGCUUUCGUGCGCCCGUUAGAGCGGCGUGUUUUCGUCGCGGCGUUCAUAUUGAGGUAAGCUUCUAGGAUUUGGCUUAAUCCUUAGUUUUAAGUGUUCUAAUAGCCUCUAAUGAGCAUUCUAAACAUGUUUGCUCCAUUUGAUUUGGAUUAUUUAGAGGUUAAUUGCAUGUUAGGGCUCCGAAUGGAAUUUUGUAAAAUAUGGG
rnacentral:lncRNA from 1 species